AAAGCGAAUGGUGAAAUCUGGGGGCUCAACCUCACAGGCUAUUAUUCAAACUCACAGACUCGAGAAUGGUAGAGGUAACUGGAAUUUCUUGUGUAGGAGUGAAAUCCGUAGAUAUAAGAAGGAACACCAAUGGCGUAGGCAGGUUACUGGGCUAUUUCUGACACUGAGGCACGAAAGCGUGGGGAGCGAACCGGAUUAGAUACCCGGGUAGUCCACGCCGUAAACUAUGGAUACUA
rnacentral:rRNA from 1 species